AGAGCGAACGCUGGCGGCAGGCCUAACACAUGCAAGUCGAGCGGCCGUAGCAAUACGGCAGCGGCAGACGGGAUAGUAACACGUGGGAACGCGCCCUUCGGUUCGGAAUAACUCAGGGAAACUUGAGCUAAUACCGGAUACGCCCUUACGGGGAAAGAUUUAUUGUCGAAGGAACGGCCCGCGUCCGAUUAGCUAGUUGGUGAGGUAAUGGCUCACCAAGGCUCCGAUCGGUAGCUGGUCUGAGAGGAUGACCAGCAUCACUGGGACUGAGACACGGCCCAGACUCCUACGGGAGGCAGCAGUGGGGAAUAUUGGACAAUGGGCGCAAGCCUGAUCCAGCCAUGCCGCGUGGAUGAUGAAGGCCUUAGGGUUGUAAAGUCCUUUAACGGGGAAGAUAAUGACGGUACCGUAGAAUAAGCCCGGCUAACUUCGCGCCAGCAGCCGC
rnacentral:rRNA from 1 species